rnacentral:miRNA from 1 species
CACCACGUGUAACAGCAACUCCACGUGGACCACACACAGCGUCCAGUGGAGACACUGUUACCUCUGGUGCGCAGCAAG